GAAUGCACUACGCGGAGGGUGGAAAACGCGCGAGCGGUGUGGCGGAGACCGCGACGUUUCACCGACGAGGGUGAGCCGGGAAGUUCCGAAGGGAAUCGCACCGGUAACUUUACUCCGAGGGAAAAUGUGCGCAGGUACUUUUGCCGGUGCCGUUUCUGCCUCCAGGUCUCUCCAGGGCGGUUCGCGGUCGGUCGUUCGGUCGGCGGGCGCUUCGUUGGGGUUGACGUGACUCCCCAGUCACAACGACCGCGCGCUCGAUAGGCGCGCGCGCCCUGAUGUCCUGCUUUUCGCGGACAGUGCCGGUUGCUCGUGAGUCUGUCUGAUACCACCACCGUUCCCAGUGCCGUCAGUGCUCUCCUAAGAGGCACCCGUGCGUUUUCGCUUUGCUUGACCGGGUUCCGGAGCCGGCAGGAGGUCGCGGGCUCGAAAAUUAAUUAACUAUAGUAACGGUGAAACCUGCUGCCCGCGAGAUCUGGAGCCGCGUGAAGGAACGCGGUACAUCGGUGGAAAGAAUCCAACAUCUCAGAGUGUACGUGACAAGGAGUCGUUUCUGAUCGAACCGCGGUAUAGCCGCCGCAACAAGGAGUGUGUCGAGGACGUACGGUAGUACUUUACGUUGAGAAAGCAACCGCGAAUAACGGAUAAGAUUCAUACCGAAGAAAGGAAAGAACAAAAGCGAACUGUACAUCUUCUGUAAAACAAUCGGACGAGAGAAAAAUAUAAAAAAAGCCGAAAGCGAAACGCUCGUAUUCCAAAAAUAAAGCAACGACUCACGGACAAUCUUCUGAAGUGUAUUCGAAACACCGUUUCGCGGCGAUAAACUUGGCGUUAUUAAAUUUCAAAGUCGAUGAAAUAAAAUUAGAGAAAAAAGAGGAAAGAGAGAGGGAGAGAGAGAGAGAGAGAGAGUGUGUGCGCGUGUGAAGCGAACGGAGAACGAACAACAAAAUCUACAUAACGUCAAAUAAUUUUGAACGAAAAAAAAUAAUAAUCUCGAGCAAGUGCAAAAUAAUUAUAAAAUCAAAAAAGUUACGCGAACGCCUGCAGCAUAAAGAAGAGAGAGAAAUAUAUAAGAAUAAAUAAGUAAUAAUUCAGUUGUCAACCGGAAACGAACGCGUGUAGCUGUCGUUUACAAUUUUAAUGUGUACCCCCCUCCUCCGUUCCCCCCCGUCAAGGAUUACGGUGUUAUAAAUAAAAAUUUAAUUUCUUCCUUCGGCUGAUGCUGUAACGACCUAUGAGAUGUGUCGAUUGAACGAAAAAGCGAGGAAUAACAAUGGAAAUUAAAAUAACAAUAACGAAAUAAAAGAACCGGACAGAUUGACGAACGUUCGCCGUAUGUUUGACGAAAAACAGUGCGAUUAUAUAGAAUUACAGUAUCAGUUUUUUUCCCAAUUAUCGUUACUUUCCUAUUGGCUGAUUUAACAUAAUUGCUUCGUUGGUCGAAGACGCUCACGUUUGCCGUAUAAAUAAAUAACCCCGUAUACUCAGAGAUAAUUUUGUCCGUCGAGAAAAGAAAAUAAAUUUUUGCAAUAAAAGCCAGUUAUCGUGGCGUAAGUUCUCAGUUUUUAAGACACGUUUGGCUAUUGGCGCCAGGAAUCUUUCGUAACUAAUUAAUAUGCUCAUCUCAUGACUGUGACUCGUAGCUUAUAGCUUAAGAUACUUUAUUAAAGUUGAUAUUAUAACCAUGUAUUCUAAUAGUGAAAUUAGUGAGAAAAUUAUAAGGAUAACGAAGUGAGGCGAAUAAAAUUCACAAGAUUAACGCAGAACUGGUGAAAUAUAAAAAAACAAAACAAAAACAAAAAAAAUAACAGCGCUAAUCACGAGGGUAAAUAAUCGUUAGGUGUUCAGUAGUGUUGAAAACAAAUUCGUAAUUGAUUGAUAAAAAUGAGUAAAUAAAUUGAGAAUUUUUAUAAAUCAAUAUUCAAAGUGCAUUACUGUUUAGAGAGAGAGA